GGGGGGGGGGGGGGGGGGGGGGGGGGGGGGGGGGGGGGGGGGGGGGGGGGGGGGGGGCUGAGGGGCGGCGGGGCGCGGUGGGGGCGGUGAGGGCUGAUGGAGGGGCGGUGAGGGCUGUCGGGGCCGAUGGGAGCUUUGGAGGAACAGGAGGCUGCGACGGGUGACAGUGAAGGACUGUGAGGGGGGUGCAGGUCAAAGUUGAGCGAGUGUGAGGGGUGAUGAAGGCCGAGGAGGGUGAGAGGGACUGUGAGGGGUGGUGGGUGGCAGUGAGGGGCAGUGUGGGGCAGACAGGGUGGUUGGGGCAGUGUUGUGAUGAAGAGUAUAGAAAUUCGGUGGAAAACAAACCCCUUGUGAGCCGGCUGGUCGUUAGAGGUCAGAGACGGUCGUGGUAGCUGGGCUUAAUCUCCGAUUAUAACCAGUUUGGCACUAUAAGUGGUUGUGUUCAAUAGGAACUUCCAUGAGCACAGAUUCUCGAACGGUGCAUGUUCAGCUCUGAGUCUGGUGAUGUUCAAUAAAAACUUUCACAGUCACAGAGUCGUGAAUAGUGUGUUUUACUGAAGCAGCAGAAAUGCAAGGGUGAAUGGAAAGGGGGAAUAAUUUUAAGGUAGUAUGUUUUGAUUAGAUUUCCAGAAGAAAUUCUUUACUCGCAGGAUGGUGAGUAAAGAGGAUGGUGAGGGCCUGGCACAGGCUGCCCAGAGAAGCUGUGGCUGCCCCAUGCCAAGUGUCCAAGGCCAGGUUGGCCAGGGCUUGGAGUAACCCAAGACAGCGGAAGCUGCACCUGUCCAUGGCCGGGGGUGGAACUGAAUGAGCUCUAAAAUCCCUUUCAACCCAAACCAUUCUGAGAUUCUGGGAUUCUAUUAAAUACAGAUUUGGAAUUGCCCUAGAUGGAUGCACGAGCUGUGAUAGAGUUCUAACACUAACAAUAGUAUAGUGUUAGCCCAGAGCCAGAGCAGGAUCUUUGCAUCUCCACAGGACCUGCCCCUUCAGGGCCUUUCUUGAUGUCAGCCAUGCAGCUCUCCAUCCACAGAGAUACCACAGAGGGUACACAGCAUAGACUGUGCUUUUUCUUGGGCUUCUCCUGUCCCACCAAUGGAGCUGUUCUGAAGCUAGAGCUGUGGACAGACUGGACAAGUUGCCACAGAGGAAUACACUGCUGUACCUCAACUGGCAGUGGGGGACAGCUGUGUGUGCACAUGCCUAAUCCAUGGCACAUGCAAGUCAGUUCAAUUUAGCCAACGCGACAGAACCGCACUAAGCUGGCUGAAGUGACCUUAUUUGCACGGACUAAGCAAAUGCACAUGGACUGUAAGGCUGGCACGCCGUAACCACUCACCGCGUGAUAGCCGGAUCCUGUCUUUGCGCUCAGCCUCUGACUCAUCA
rnacentral:lncRNA from 12 species